UGUCUUUUUGAAAAUAAUAUAAAGUCUAAUCUGCCCACUGAUUUUAUAUUAAAGGGCUGCAGUAUUUUGACUGUACAAAGGUAGCAUAAUCAUUAGUCAUUUAAUUGAUGACUUGUAUGAAAGAUUGGAUGAAAUAUAAACUGUCUCUUAAUUAUCAAUAUAAAACUUAAUUUUUUAAUUAAAAAGUUAAAAUAAUUUAAAAAGACGAGAAGACCCUAUAGAGUUUUAUAUUUAAAUUAAUUAAGAUUAUUUAAAAUUUAAAAUUAAAAUUAAUUUAUUUAUUAUAUUGGGGUGAUAGAAAAAUAUAUAUAACUUUUUUUAUAUAAAAACAUUUAUAAGUGAUUAAAUGAUCCAA
rnacentral:rRNA from 1 species